AUGCAGGGUAUGGCAUUGGCAAUCCAACACUCGUCUUUACCGGUGGUUGUUUAGUCAGAUUCAACAGAGGCGCUUUCUUGCUUGUUGAACCGGGGACUCGAGCGCUCAGCUUAUGGGCAUUUGGUUAGUGAGAUCAAAGAGUUAAUGUCUGGUAGGGAGUUUUAUCCGCAGAAAAUUUCUCGUAGUCAAAAUAGAGUUGCAGAUCGUUUGGCCAAUUAUAGCCGCACCGAGAGCACAACUGCUGUGUGGUUGACCUCGGCUCCACCAUGUAUCGAGGAAAUAUGGCCUAUCGAUGUAACAAUGUUACUCAUUAAUAAAACUCCCUUAUCCUCGCAAAAAAAAUGA
rnacentral:rRNA from 1 species